rnacentral:sRNA from 1 species
UCACUCUUGAAGGAAACCUAGAAACUGC